rnacentral:tRNA from 1 species
GUUAAUGUAGCUUAUCAUAAAGCAAAGCACUGAAAAUGCUUAGAUGGAUUUUAUAAUCCCAUAAACAC